rnacentral:rRNA from 1 species
ACGAACGCUGGCGGCGUGCUUAACACAUGCAAGUCGAACGAGAAUCUGUGGAUCGAGGAUUCGUCCAAGUGAAGCAGAGGACAGUGGCGGACGGGUGAGUAACGCGUGAGGAACCUGCCUUUCAGAGGGGGACAACAGUUGGAAACGACUGCUAAUACCGCAUGAUACGUUUUAGGGGCAUCCCUGAGACGUCAAAGAUUUAUCGCUGAAAGAUGGCCUCGCGUCUGAUUAGCUAGUUGGUGAGGUAACGGCCCACCAAGGCGACGAUCAGUAGCCGGACUGAGAGGUUGACCGGCCACAUUGGGACUGAGAUACGGCCCAGACUCCUACGGGAGGCAGCAGUGGGGAAUAUUGGGCAAUGGGCGCAAGCCUGACCCAGCAACGCCGCGUGAAGGAAGAAGGCUUUCGGGUUGUAAACUUCUUUUAAGAGGGAAGAGCAGAAGACUGUACCUCUAGAAUAAGCCACGGCUAACUACGUGCCAGCAGCCGCGGUAAUACGUAGGUGGCAAGCGUUGUCCGGAUUUACUGGGUGUAAAGGGCGUGCAGCCGGGAAUGCAAGUCAGAUGUGAAAUCCAUGGGCUUAACCCAUGAACUGCAUUUGAAACUGUAUUUCUUGAGUACUGGAGAGGCAAUCGGAAUUCCUAGUGUAGCGGUGAAAUGCGUAGAUAUUAGGAGGAACACCAGUGGCGAAGGCGGAUUGCUGGACAGCAACUGACGGUGAGGCGCGAAAGUGUGGGGAGCAAACAGGAUUAGAUACCCUGGUAGUCCACACUGUAAACGAUGAAUACUAGGUGUGCGGGGACUGACCCCCUGCGUGCCGCAGUUAACACAAUAAGUAUUCCACCUGGGGAGUACGAUCGCAAGGUUGCAACUCAAAGGAAUUGACGG